GACGAACGCUGGCGGCGUGCCUAACACAUGCAAGUCGAGCGCGGAAGGGUGGUACUUGUACCAACUGGAUGAGCAGCGAACGGGAGAGUAACGUGUGGGGAAUCUGCCUUUGAGCGGGGGACAACUAUUGGAAACGAAUGCUAAUAGCGCAUAAAAUCUUUAAACACAAGGUUUACGUUUGAAAGAUGCAAUUGCAUGAUUCAAACAUGACCCCACGUUGUAUUAGCUAGUUGGUGAGGUAAAGGUCCACCAAGGCGGUGAUACGUAGCCGCCCUGAGAGGGGGAGCGGCCACAUUGGGACGGGGACACGGCCCAAACUCCUGGGGGAGGCAGCAGUAGGGGAUCUGCGGGGAUGGACGGAAGUGGGACCGAGCAACGCCGGGGGAGUGAAGAAGGUUGUCGGGUCGUGAAAGUCGGUUAGUAGAGAGGAUCGUUGGUGAGAGUGGGAAGCGCAGCAAGUGACGGUAACUGCAGAAGAAGCGACGGCUAACUACGUG
rnacentral:rRNA from 1 species